rnacentral:rRNA from 1 species
UUAGUGACGAAGACAGUGACGGUAGCUAAGGAAUAAGCAUCGGCUAACUACGUGCCAGCAGCCGCGGUAAUACGUAGGAUGCAAGCGUUAUCCGGAUUUACUGGGUGUAAAGGGAGCGCAGGCGGGACUGCAAGUUGGAUGUGAAAUACCGUGGCUUAACCACGGAACUGCAUCCAAAACUGUAGUUCUUGAGUGAAGUAGAGGCAAGCGGAAUUCCGAGUGUAGCGGUGAAAUGCGUAGAUAUUCGGAGGAACACCAGUGGCGAAGGCGGCUUGCUGGGCUUUAACUGACGCUGAGGCUCGAAAGUGUGGGGAGCAAACAGGAUUAGAUACCCUGGUAGUCCACACUGUAAACGAUGAUAGCUAGGUGUGGGGGGUCUGACCCCUUCCGUGCCGGAGUUAACGCAAUAAGCUAUCCACCUGGGGAGUACGACCGCAAGGUUGCAACUCAAAGGAAUUGACGGA